UACAUUUUUUGACUCUUCGUCUUAUUCAAAAAAAUUUUGCGAUUGAUAUUUUUGUUUUUAUUAGAUGAUAAAUCAUGAAUAGUACUUUACAUGUGACUAAUUUUUUUCUAAUUUCCUGAAAAUUUUUCAAAUAAAACGGAUGGUCAAACCUUGGACACGGAAACC
rnacentral:pre_miRNA from 1 species